rnacentral:tRNA from 1 species
GCGGUUCCCGGGCCGAGGUCGGCGAGGCCGCCGUCGACUCGGACGACGUGGACAUGGUCAGCUUCACGGGUUCGACCGCCGUGGGACGGCG